rnacentral:lncRNA from 10 species
CAUUCACGUUGGAAUCUCCUACAGGCACUUCAGGUCAAAGACUACCGAUGUCCAGAUCAUAAUGCGAGGACAGUUUGAGCCCAGUGCUCUCUGACUGAGGUAGAACCCCCGGGAAGGUGAAGAGGGCAGCCGUCUGCGAAACAGCCCAGCAUUUAAGAAUGGGCAGCACCUGGCCAGGUGCAUUUGAGAACUAGGAAUGUGGCAACAAUAACAUUUAUUUAUUUGGAUGAAGAGAAGAAGAUGUAUUGGAUUCCCUGAAACAAUCAUUGACCUGCCUGAAUCCCAACUGUUGCACUGACUCCACUAAUUCACCAAUCCACUUGAGCUGGGAGGAGAGCCCAUGCACAGAAGUUUAUGGAUAAACAGACCUGAACGUCUAGCAUGAUGUCAAAUUUAUAUGGCCACAGAACUACAAAAGGAAAUAACUAUAACCUCACUGACCACAGUGCUGCUGACACUUGGACAACAUGGGUUUGAGCUUCAUGGGUCCACUUAGACAAUAAUUUUUUCACUAACU